UGGGGAAUUUUGGACAAUGGGCGCAAGCCUGAUCCAGCCAUGCCGCGUGCGGGAAGAAGGCCUUCGGGUUGUAAACCGCUUUUGUCAGGGAAGAAAUCUUCUGAGUUAAUACCUCGGGAGGAUGACGGUACCUGAAGAAUAAGCACCGGCUAACUACGUGCCAGCAGCCGCGGUAAUACGUAGGGUGCAAGCGUUAAUCGGAAUUACUGGGCGUAAAGCGUGCGCAGGCGGUUUUGUAAGACAGAGGUGAAAUCCCCGGGCUCAACCUGGGAACUGCCUUUGUGACUGCAAGGCUUGAGUGCGGCAGAGGGGGGAUGGAAUUCCGCGUGUAGCAGUGAAAUGCGUAGAUAUGCGAAGGAACACCGAUGGCGAAGGCAAUCCCCUGGGCCUGCACUGACGCUCAUGCACGAAAGCGUGGGGAGCAAACAGGAUUAGAUACCCUGGUAGUCCACGCCCUAAACGAUGUCAACUGGUUGUU
rnacentral:rRNA from 1 species